rnacentral:misc_RNA from 1 species
UUUCCGUAGGUGAACCAGCGGAAGGAUCAUUAGCGAGUCAGGGUCAUUCUGGCCCGACCUCCAACCCUUUGCUUAAUACCUAGGUUGCGUUGGCGGGCCCGUCUCACGGACGCCCGAAGUCCUAGGAGCCCUCGGCCGCGCCCACCAAUAGCCUUCUACAAACUCUUGAUCUAUUGUGAUGUUUGAGUAAUAAAUUUAAUAGUUAAAACUUUCAACAACGGAUCUCUUGGUUCUG